rnacentral:rRNA from 1 species
GGGCCCGCACAAGCGGAGGAACAUGUGGUUUAAUUCGAUGAUACGCGAGGAACCUUACCUGGGCUUAAAUGGGGACUGACGGACACUGAAAGGUGUCUUUCUUCGGACAGUCUUCAAGGUGCUGCAUGGUUGUCGUCAGCUCGUGCCGUGAGGUGUCGGGUUAAGUCCCAUAACGAGCGCAACCCUUACCGUUAGUUACCAUCAGGUAAAGCUGGGGACUCUAGCGGGACUGCCACCGUAAGGUGAGAGGAAGGCGGGGAUGACGUCAAAUCAGCACGGCCCUUAUGUCCAGGGCUACACACGUGUUACAAUGGCCGGUACAAAGGGCAGCUACUCCGCGAGGAGAUGCUAAUCUUGAAAGCCGGUCUCAGUUCGGAUCGAAGUCUGCAACCCGACUUCGUGAAGCUGGAUUCGCUAGUAAUCGCGCAUCAGCCAUGGCGCGGUGAAUACGUUCCCGGGCCUU